rnacentral:lncRNA from 1 species
UAUUCGGAGAUCGUUAAUCAUUAGAUUAUAUUAUACUAAAUAUGAUGAUUUUAGAUCACUGGAUGUCAAAUUAUUUUAGAAUUAGGAUCAUUAAUAAUCUUAGAUCAUCAUGAUAAUCCCAUUGGGUUCACUAAAUGCCUUGUAGGUCAUAUUGAUACUCGAGCUAAUUCUAUAUCAACCAAUCUAGAUCUUGUAGUAAGAUCCUUCCUCUGGUAGUAAACCAUCUUAAUCGAUGCCUUCCACAAUGACCAAUCCUCUUCGAAAAACCACU